AAUGGGCGAAAGCCUGAUGCAGCAACGCCGCGUGAGCGAUGAAGGCCUUCGGGUCGUAAAGCUCUGUCCUCAAGGAAGAUAAUGACGGUACUUGAGGAGGAAGCCCCGGCUAACUACGUGCCAGCAGCCGCGGUAAUACGUAGGGGGCUAGCGUUAUCCGGAUUUACUGGGCGUAAAGGGUGCGUAGGCGGUCUUUUAAGUCAGGAGUGAAAGGCUACGGCUCAACCGUAGUAAGCUCUUGAAACUGGAGGACUUGAGUGCAGGAGAGGAGAGUGGAAUUCCUAGUGUAGCGGUGAAAUGCGUAGAUAUUAGGAGGAACACCAGUAGCGAAGGCGGCUCUCUGGACUGUAACUGACGCUGAGGCACGAAAGCGUGGGGAGCAAA
rnacentral:rRNA from 1 species